rnacentral:rRNA from 1 species
ACGAACGCUGGCGGCCUGCCUAACACAUGCAAGUCGAACGAACCCUUCGGGGUUAGUGGCGCACGGGUGCGUAACGCGUGGGAAUCUGCCCUUUGCUUCGGAAUAACUCAGGGAAACUUGUGCUAAUACCGGAUGAUGUCUUCGGACCAAAGAUUUAUCGGCAAGGGAUGAGCCCGCGUAGGAUUAGGUAGUUGGUGGGGUAAAGGCCUACCAAGCCGACGAUCCUUAGCUGGUCUGAGAGGAUGAUCAGCCACACUGGGACUGAGACACGGCCCAGACUCCUACGGGAGGCAGCAGUGGGGAAUAUUGGACAAUGGGCGCAAGCCUGAUCCAGCAAUGCCGCGUGAGUGAUGAAGGCCCUCGGGUCGUAAAGCUCUUUUACCAGGGAUGAUAAUGACAGUACCUGGAGAAUAAGCUCCGGCUAACUCCGUG